GACGGAGGAUGCAAGUGUUAUCCGGAAUCACUGGGCGUAAAGCGUCUGUAGGUGGUUUAAUAAGUCAACUGUUAAAUCUUGAGGCUCAACUUCAAAAUCGCAGUCGAAACUAUUAGACUAGAGUAUAGUAGGGGUAAAGGGAAUUUCCAGUGGAGCGGUGAAAUGCGUAGAGAUUGGAAAGAACACCAAUGGCGAAAGCACUUUACUGGGCUAUCACUGACACUGAGAGACGAAAGCUAGGGGAGCGAAUGGG
rnacentral:rRNA from 1 species